rnacentral:rRNA from 1 species
UACGAAGGGGGGCUAGCGUUGCUCGGAAUUACUGGGCGUAAAGGGCGCGUAGGCGGAUCGUUAAGUCAGAGGUGAAAGCCCAGGGCUCAACCCUGGAAUUGCCUUUGAUACUGGCGAUCUUGAGUACGGGAGAGGUGUGUGGAACUCCGAGUGUAGAGGUGAAAUUCGUAGAUAUUCGGAAGAACACCAGUGGCGAAGGCGGCUCACUGGCCCGGUACUGACGCCUGAGGUGCGAAAGCGUGGGGAGCAAACAGG